GACCUCUUGGCUCAGUGGUAGAGCAUCUGAUUCCAGUUUCAACGGAACAUCCAGAAGGUCGUCCGUUCGAUCCGGGCAGAGGUCA